UACGGGGGGAGCAAGCGUUGUUCGGAUUUACUGGGCGUAAAGAGCGCGCAGGCGGUCGUUCAAGUCGCGUGUGAAAGCCCCCGGCUCAACUGGGGAGGGUCACGCGAUACCGAUCGACUCGAAGGCAGGAGAGGGUAGUGGAGUUCCCGGUGUAGUGGUGAAAUGCGUAGAUAUCGGGAGGAACACCAGUGGCGAAGGCGACUACCUGGCCUGUUUCUUGACGCUGAGGCGCGAAAGCUAGGGGAGCAAACGGG
rnacentral:rRNA from 1 species